AUUGAACGCUGGCGGCAUGCUUUACACAUGCAAGUCGAACGGUAACAGGCCGCAAGGUGCUGACGAGUGGCGAACGGGUGAGUAAUGCAUCGGAACGUGCCCAGUCGUGGGGGAUAACGCAGCGAAAGCUGCGCUAAUACCGCAUACGAUCUAUGGAUGAAAGCGGGGGACCGUAAGGCCUCGCGCGAUUGGAGCGGCCGAUGUCAGAUUAGGUAGUUGGUGGGGGAAAGGCUCACCAAGCCAACGAUCUGUAGCUGGUCUGAGAGGACGACCAGCCACACUGGGACUGAGACACGGCGCAGACUCCUACGGGAGGCAGCAGUGGGGAAUUUUGGACAAUGGGCGCAAGCCUGAUCCAGCAAUGCCGCGUGCAGGAAGAAGGCCUUCGGGUUGUAAACUGCUUUUGUACGGAACGAAACGGUCCCGGUUAAUACCUGGGGCUAAUGACGGUACCGUAAGAAUAAGCACCGGCUAACUACGUGCCAGCAGCCGCAGUAACAC
rnacentral:rRNA from 1 species